rnacentral:rRNA from 1 species
GACGAACGCUGGCGGCGUGCCUAACACAUGCAAGUCGAACGGGGUAAUUACUUCGGUGAUUACUUAGUGGCGAACGGGUGAGUAACGCGUGAGGAACCUGCCUCUCAGUGGGGGACAACAGUUGGAAACGACUGCUAAUACCGCAUAACGCAGCGAGACCGCAUGGUCUUGCUGUCAAAGCUUUAUGUGCUGAGAGAUGGCCUCGCGUCUGAUUAGCUAGUUGGCGGGGUAACGGCCCACCAAGGCGACGAUCAGUAGCCGACCUGAGAGGGUGACCGGCCACAUUGGGACUGAGACACGGCCCAAACUCCUACGGGAGGCAGCAGUGGGGAUAUUGCGCAAUGGGGGGAAACCCUGACGCAGCAACGCCGCGUGAAGGAAGAAGCCUGGUGUAACGUUACUGUUCUUAGGUAAG